UACGGAGGAUCCGAGCGUCAUCCGGAUUUAUUGGGUUUAAAGGGUGCGUAGGCGGCCUAUUAAGUCAGGGGUGAAAGACGGUAGCUUAACUAUCGCAGUGCCUUUGAUACUGAUGGGCUUGAAUGUAGUUGAGGUAGGCGGAAUGUGACAAGUAGCGGUGAAAUGCAUAGAUAUGUCACAGAACACCAAUUGCGAAGGCAGCUUACUAAAGUAUGAUUGACGCUGAGGCACGAAAGCGUGGGGAUCAAACAGG
rnacentral:rRNA from 1 species